GGCUGGAUAUCCAAGCGGUCGACGGGGCCGGCCUUGUGCCGGGUGGCAUUCGCCUUUGCGGGUUCGAACCCCGCUCCAGCUG
rnacentral:tRNA from 1 species